AGAUGAGUCUUCCCUGAUACUUUAAGUAUCCUAAAGGGUUGUUCGAGACUAGAACGUUGAUAGGCAGGGUGUGUAAGCGCUGUGAGGCGUUGAGCUAACCUGUACUAAUUGCCCGUGAGGCUUAACCAU
rnacentral:rRNA from 1 species